UGGGGAAUAUUGGACAAUGGGCGAAAGCCUGAUCCAGCCAUGCCGCGUGAGUGAUGAAGGCCCUAGGGUUGUAAAGCUCUUUCAGUGGGGAAGAUAAUGACGGUACCCACAGAAGAAGCCCCGGCUAACUUCGUGCCAGCAGCCGCGGUAAUACGAAGGGGGCUAGCGUUGUUCGGAUUUACUGGGCGUAAAGCGCACGUAGGCGGAUCGUUAAGUCGGGGGUGAAAUCCCGGGGCUCAACCCCGGAACUGCCUUCGAUACUGGCGAUCUCGAGUCCGGAAGAGGUGAGUGGAACUCCUAGUGUAGAGGUGGAAUUCGUAGAUAUUAGGAAGAACACCAGUGGCGAAGGCGGCUCACUGGUCCGGUACUGACGCUGAGGUGCGAAAGCGUGGGGAGCAAAC
rnacentral:rRNA from 1 species